rnacentral:rRNA from 1 species
UACGAAGGGGGCUAGCGUUGCUCGGAAUCACUGGGCGUAAAGGGUGCGUAGGCGGUUUUUUUAGUCAGGGGUGAAAUCCUGGAGCUCAACUCCAGAACUGCCUUUGAUACUGAAGAUCUUGAGUUCGGGAGAGGUGAGUGGAACUGCGAGUGUAGAGGUGAAAUUCGUAGAUAUUCGCAAGAACACCAGUGGCGAAGGCGGCUCACUGGCCCGAUACUGACGCUGAGGCACGAAAGCGUGGGGAGCAAACAGG